CCCAGCUCUCCGGCGGAGGGAAAUUCAAGUCAGCGGGUCUGCAGUGAAGUGUACCCCCCAGUUACGCAGCCCC